AACAUCCUGGUCCUGUGGAGA
rnacentral:miRNA from 1 species